GAUGAACGCUGACAGAAUGCUUAACACAUGCAAGUCUUUGGCGAAGCUGUGCUUGCACAGCCUAGCCAAGGCGGACGGGUGAGUAACGCGUAAGGAACUUGCCCUGCAGUCAGGGAUAACAGACGGAAACGACUGAUAAGACCUGGUAAAGUCAGGCGGACUCAUGUCCAGCCUGAUGAAAAGAGAUGCUGCAGGAGAGCCUUGCGUCCUAUUAGCUUGUUGGUGGGGUAACGGCCCACCAAGGCGAUGAUAGGUAGCCGGCCUGAGAGGGUGGACGGCCACAAGGGGACUUAGAUACGGCCCUUAAUCCUACGGGAGGCAGCAGUGGGGAAUAUUGGACAAUGGGGGCAACCCUGAUCCAGCAAUUCUGUGUUCACGAUGAAGGUUUUCGGAUUGUAAAGUGCUUUCAGCAGGGAAGAAAAAAAUGACGGUACCUGCAGAAGAAGCGACGGCUAAAUACGUG
rnacentral:rRNA from 1 species